rnacentral:lncRNA from 1 species
GUUGAGUCAUUAUGCACCAAGUCAGGAAUAUAGCAAAAGUUAUAUCAUAGAUCGUUUCUCUGUGUGUUACAUUUUAAUGUUGUGUUUUUGUUGUGUCGUUGUUCUCCUCUUAUAGUUGGUACGUUUCCUUUUUUCCUCAAAAUUUGUUUUCCCUAAAAAAAAAAUUUCAACAAAAUUUUUAUUUCCUCAAAUAUUUCUUUUUUCUUAAAAAUUUUUUUUCCUCAAAUUUUUUUCUUAAUUUUUUUUUCCGUUUCGUUAUUCGAUUUUCAUUUCUU